rnacentral:rRNA from 1 species
GACGAACGCUGGCGGCGUGCCUAAUACAUGCAAGUCGAACGAGAGCGACCGGUGCUUGCACUGGUCAAUCUAGUGGCGAACGGGUGAGUAACACGUGGGUAACCUGCCCAUCAGAGGGGGAUAACAUCCGGAAACGGAUGCUAAAACCGCAUAGGUCUUCGAGCCGCAUGGCUUGAAGAGGAAAAGAGGCGCAAGCUUCUGCUGAUGGAUGGACCCGCGGUGCAUUAGCUAGUUGGUGAGGUAACGGCUCACCAAGGCCGUGAUGCAUAGCCGACCUGAGAGGGUGAUCGGCCACAUUGGGACUGAGACACGGCCCAAACUCCUACGGGAGGCAGCAGUAGGGAAUCUUCCGCAAUGGACGCAAGUCUGACGGAGCAACGCCGCGUGAGUGAAGAAGGUUUUCGGAUCGUAAAACUCUGUUGUUAGAGAAGAACAAGUGCUAGAGUAACUGUUAGCGCCUUGACGGUAUCUAACCAGA